GAUGAACGCUAGCGGCAGGCUUAAUACAUGCAAGUCGAGGGGCAGCACAGGUAGCAAUACUGGGUGGCGACCGGCAAACGGGUGCGGAACACGUACACAACUUACCUUAGAGUGGGGGAUAGCCCAGGGAAACUUGGAUUAAUACCCCAUAAAACAGGGGGCCCGCAUGGGCAUAUUGUUAAAGAUUUAUCGCUUUAAGAUGGGUGUGCGUAUGAUUAGGUAGUUGGUAGGGUAAAGGCCUACCAAGCCGACGAUCAUUAACUGGUGUGAGAGCACGACCAGUCACACGGGAACUGAGACACGGGCCCGACUCCUACGGGAGGCAGCAGUAAGGAAUAUUGGUCAAUGGACGGAAGUCUGAACCAGCCAUGCCGCGUGAAGGAUGAAGGUCCUCUGGAUUGUAAACUUCUUUUAUAGGGGGCGAAAAAGGGCCAUUCUUGGUCAACUGACGGUACCCUAUGAAUAAGCACCGGCUAACUCCGUGCCAGCCGCCGCGGUAAAAC
rnacentral:rRNA from 1 species